rnacentral:rRNA from 1 species
UACGUAGGGGGCGAGCGUUGUCCGGAUUUAUUGGGCGUAAAGAGCUCGUAGGCGGCUUGGCAAGUCGGGUGUGAAACCUCCAGGCUCAACCUGGAGACGCCACUCGAUACUGCUAUGGCUAGAGUCCGGUAGGGGACCACGGAAUUCCUGGUGUAGCGGUGAAAUGCGCAGAUAUCAGGAGGAACAUCGGUGGCGAAGGCGGUGGUCUGGGCCGGCACUGACGCUGAGGAGCGAAAGCGUGGGUAGCAAACAGG